rnacentral:rRNA from 1 species
AGUGAACGCUGGCGGUAGGCCUAACACAUGCAAGUCGAACGGCAGCACAGUAAGAGCUUGCUCUUACGGGUGGCGAGUGGCGGACGGGUGAGGAAUACAUCGGAAUCUACUUUUUCGUGGGGGAUAACGUAGGGAAACUUACGCUAAUACCGCAUACGACCUACGGGUGAAAGCAGGGGAUCUUCGGACCUUGCGCGAUUGAAUGAGCCGAUGUCGGAUUAGCUAGUUGGCGGGGUAAAGGCCCACCAAGGCGACGAUCCGUAGCUGGUCUGAGAGGAUGAUCAGCCAAACUGGAACUGAGACACGGUCAAGACUCCUACGGGAGGCAGCAGUGGGGAAUAUUGGACAAUGGGCGCAAGCCUGAUCCAGCCAUACCGCGUGGGUGAAGAAGGCCUUCGGGUUGUAAAGCCCUUUUGUUGGGAAAGAAAAGCAGCAGGUUAAUACCCCGCUGUUCUGACGGUACCCAAAGAAUAAGCACCGGCUAACUUCGUG